AGUCACGUAAAUGGCCACCGUGACAGCCAUCGCAAAGCCAACAUUGAUAGUGACAAUUCCUCCAAACUUUCCUCGACUAAGGAUAGCUUGGGCAACAGAGCCACAUCCAAGGACCUGGAAAGAAAGGAAACUCAACAGAGCUAAUUAAAUGCCCUGGGUGCAACUUCCAAGCUAGCUGGCAUUUUGGUAGCAUCUUCUGAAAAGAGGAACAAAAUAUUACUGACAACUGGGAGGACCCAACUUAGACCACUGAGACAAGAAGAAACACAUCCAGACCCCCGACUCAUCCUCAGAUAUUACUGCUUUCUGGGGAGGAUAAUCGAGGCUAUGAACUGCAGGGAGGGCAAGCAAGAGAAAUUAGCAAUGUAGGGACUUUAAUUACCCUCCUCAGAAAUUGCCACUCAGAAGACUGCAGCCCAGAUUCACAUCAUUGCUUCUUAAUUUUAAAAUAAAUGUAUUAGAGGGUGAAAAAGCAAUGAGGAAAUCAGGUAACUGCCUAUUGGUGUCUUCCCUUGUCUGCCUUCCCCACCUGCAUUCACAGCACCAGGGAAGCAGAUCUUGGAUAUUCUAAUGAAUCAUGGUUGAUGGCUGGGGACUUGGCCACCCACUCCGGUUUCCCUCAUCUGUGUGCCCAGUGUACCUUUUUCCCUUCAAAAAUGAGAGAACUGUCUUUUGUGGUAUAACUGAGAUAUAUUACAACAUGAUUCUCUGCCCUAACCAUCGAGUACUGCCACACCACUCCCAUUCCUAGACAUAAAGAGACCCUAUCCAUCCUGUCUCAAUUUGCUGGGCCCCCUAUUUGGAAAGAUUUUUUGGACACACCAGUCAUCCAUCCCUAUUCUCAUCAAACCUAACCUUUCUUCUCUGAAAUUCCCGCAUGCUACCCAUACUAUGUAAUUACUACUUGGUUGUUUUCCAAGGGCCUGAUCUUGAUUUCCUUAUCUAGGAACCAUCUAUAAGAUUCUUUCCCCAUGCCAACAGCCCUUAAUAGGCCAGUUUGUUCUGUUUUGUUUUGCUUCCUUGGGUAUCAUGUUUCCCAAGUCCAUCCUCACUCUGGUGCAGGACAUCUAUAGGCCCUCAAGGUCUCCCACCUUCUUGUCAGGAUUUAGCAUCUGCUCCAUCUAGCUGCUUUCUCCAGAAGAACUGGAAAAAUCACAAAACCAUGCAGGGGGGAUAUUAUAAAGCCAUAUAUUUGGUUUUCAUUGUGUCCUUCACUGUCCACUCAAAUCUCAUUCACUUCUCAUUUGUAGUCUCCCAAUAGCUUCACCAAGCCUUCCCUUCUGUCAGCUGCUUAAUCCACCCAAGUCCCUUUCUGCAAAUACCAUUACCUACUACUUGACUCAGCACCUAUAAGAGGCCUUAAAGAUCAAUGGCAAUUUGGAAUAUCACAUGCACAUUGUGUGCCAGUUUCUCAGUGCUGAGUAACUAACUACCUCCAAACCUAGUGCCCUAAAUGCUAUGAUUUAUUUCGCUUAUGAAUCUGCAAUCUGGGUGAUGUUUGCCAGGGCGUCUCAUCUCCACUCCAUCUGGUGUCAAAUGUGAUGGCUCAAAGUUGGAGAAUUGGAAUUACCUGAGGUCUCACACAAUCAUGUGUCUAGUGGUUGACGUUGGUGGCCAGCUGAUGCCUUAGCUGGGGUGUCGGCCCAAACGCCUGCAAAUGGCCUCGCCAUGUGGCUUGGCUUCUUCACAACAUGGUGGUUAGGCACCAAGGAUGAGCACCAUGUAGGCUCCAUAGCCUGUGUUCUUACACCCUGCACCACCCUCUCUCUCAGCCUAGGCACUAUGCUCGUUCUGACUCAAUGGCACAGAAACUGGAUCUGAUAUAUAAGCACUCUCUCUACAGCAUCCUGAACCGAUGUUCACCUGGUCCUUGCUGGACUACCGUUAGGCGUAGGGAGUUUAUUACAUCAGGCAGCUUCUUCUGUAUAAUGCUUGUUGUUCCAGUUGCUGGGGAGUCCUUUCUUAUAUGAAGUUAAAGUCCUCUUUCCUACCAUUUCUGUUAGCUCCAGGCCUACUCCUGGG